rnacentral:tRNA from 1 species
GGGCACAUGGUCUAGUGGUAUGAUAUUCGCUUUGCAUAGAAAACUUCUCAUAAUGUAUCUGCGAAGGGUCCGGGGUUCAAUUCCCUGUGUGUCCA